rnacentral:misc_RNA from 1 species
AAACUGCGAUAAGUAGUGUGAAUUGCAUUUAGUGAAUCAUCGAAUCUUUGAACGCACCUUGCACUCACUGGUAUUCCGGUGAGUACGCCUGUUUCAGUAUCAUUGAAAACACACAAUCAAAACAUUUUCUUUGGUUUGAUCGGCUUUGGGUCUAUCAAAAAGUUUGGCUUGUUUCUUACAAGCCAAGCGGCCUGAAAUAUAUUGUCUGGCUAAUUGCAUCGUUGAUGAUCGCUAUUAGACUUUGGCUUUUUUAAAUGAACUGGAGGUUGAUUAACCAGUUUUAGCUUUAGUCAAAUGGUCAUUGUAAAAAAAAUCUCGAUCUUGGCUAGGUGUUUAUAGCCGAAAAUUUUUUUUUGGCUAUAACCGAAACCAAUAUAAUCACAUUUAGUUAUCGAUCUGAAAUCAGGUGGGACUACCCGCUGAACUUAAGC